GGGACAGGUCGUACUGCUUUUGUGCGCCGUUUCCUCUCCCUCCGCCAGCUUGAGAAGCAGCUUUCGUCUCUGGGGUCGAUCGCCUACGAACGGGCCGAAUUCUACGCCAGCUGUGAGGACCCUUGGCUGGGCCUUUCUUUCUCCCGGGACACUGAAGCACCGAAGAGUACCCACAGCCUCGCCCUCCCCAAACGCUAGCCCUGAAGGGGAAGAAAAGAAGCGAGGCUUGUCUCUUCCCUGGACACAGGCAAAUGUUUUUGUCUUCAGAAGGGGAACUGAGCUGAGAGGCAAAGGACCAUGAUUUUGCAAUGACUGGACGGAGUACAGUGGAAUGAUCCUGGCUUGUUGCAAACUCUGCUUCCCGGGCUUAAGUGAUUCUUCUGCCUCAGCCUAUGGAGUAGCUGGAAUUACAGGCAUGCCACCAC